UGGGGAAUAUUGGACAAUGGGUGAGAGCCUGAUCCAGCCAUGCCGCGUGCAGGAAGAAGGCGUUAUGCGUUGUAAACUGCUUUUUGCCAGGGGAUAAAAAGACCGUGCGCGGUUAAUUGAAGGUACCUGGUGAAUAAGCCACGGCUAACUACGUGCCAGCAGCCGCGGUAAUACGUAGGUGGCAAGCGUUGUCCGGAUUUAUUGGGUUUAAAGGGUGCGUAGGUGGCCCUGUAAGUCAGUGGUGAAAUAUCUCAGCUUAACUGAGAGGGUGCCAUUGAUACUGCAGGGCUUGAGUACAGAUGAGGUAGGCGGAAUUGACGGUGUAGCGGUGAAAUGCAUAGAUAUCGUCAAGAACACCGAUAGCGAAGGCAGCUUACCAAGCUGUAACUGACACUGAGGCACGAAAGUGUGGGAAUCAAACAGGAUUAGAUACCCCCGUAGUCCCUGAGCGGGCUGGCAAGGCGCAU
rnacentral:rRNA from 1 species